rnacentral:rRNA from 1 species
CAGUAGCCACGGGAAUACGAAGGGUGCAAGCGUUACUCGGAAUUACUGGGCGUAAAGCGUGCGUAGGUGGUUGUUUAAGUCUGUCGUGAAAGCCCUGGGCUCAACCUGGGAAUUGCGAUGGAUACUGGGCGACUAGAGUGCGGUAGAGGAUAGUGGAAUUUCCGGUGUAGCAGUGAAAUGCGUAGAGAUCGGAAGGAACAUCUGUGGCGAAGGCGACUAUCUGGGCCAACACAGACACUGAGACACGAAAGCGUGGGGAGCAAACAGGAUUAGAUACCCCAGUAGUCCCUGUCUCUUAUAC